CAUACCGAGCAUGUGUAAGCCCUGUGUUACAACGGUGAUGCCAGAGAGCUAGAAGUUGUGACCUCGUUGAGUAGCUGUCUGCUUGGAUCCUACGGAUGCAUCCCUCAGCGUAGUUCACGCAAGGGAGAAUCCAAUGGCAAAGAUUCACCUGGGGUGACCAUGGAAAGAGGAAUCUCAGGGCCAACUUGGGCCAGAGCUACCACUUGGGGCAGGAGACAGGAGCCAUCAGAAGCCAAGACACCCCAGUUUUACAACCGCAUUUCUAUGGAUGCGCAAACCAAGGCUUAGAGAUCCAAGGCUAGAAAGCGGCAGACCCAGGAUUUGAAGCUAAGACUGUUUAACACCAAAGCCCUCACUCUUCAUAUCACAGCAGGAAUAAGGAUAACCGUGAACACUGGACAGUCUGGGAAAUCCAAGGAGACAGCUCACUGGAAGGCUGGACUGAGGUGGGGGUGCACUUGCCUUGGAGGUCCACUGCCCACAGGUGACACGGCUCAUUACCAGCAGGUUUUCUUGGUGAGACGUGACGAGGCCCUAAUGCCUCAGCGUGAGCCCACUGGCUUGGGAUGGCUGGUUGUUUCUAACUAGGUAUGAAGCCAGGUAUUAGACACAAUGCCGUUUUGGCCCCGACGCGGGAGGGAGAUGGAAGGGGCUGCUGGCGUCCGCGGGCUCGUCUUGUUCCGCCGUCCGGCCGGCACACGCAGCAGGGCCCCCGCGCAGCCAGGAGCCCCCAGGAAGCACGUGGCGCACUCGUCCUGCAGGUUCAGAAGGCAAGCUCACAGCCUUCAAAGCGCCUGACAUCCUUUCAGGUUAGCUGCUACAAAGGCAAAUGCAAACAGAGUGCGUUUUGGAGGCGUUCUGUCAGUCAGCUUUCAAUCUGUAUGUUCUUCUAGACACUCCUUCUCCUGCCUGAUUUAUUUCAUAUUAAAAGGGCUGUCAAUCUGUAUCACAAGAACAGGUGGAGAGAAAGUGAGUGAUGUUUACCAAGUGAGUUUGGGGUUGUUGUUUGUUAUUGUUAGGAAUAACAGCCCCCCAUCUCUGGCCGUACUCCUGAUUCACCCUCCACUGGCUCUCCCGGCCCCUGCUUGCCUUUCUCUGCAGGUAUCGGCACAUCAGAGGUAUGAAUUCCACGUACUCGGCGCAUUUACAUUAGAAACGUAUUUUGUGAGGCUGUGGCAGACCCUUUUUUAUUAUCCAUCAAAUAUAUCUCUUUUUACCAUCUGAUGGCUUGGCAACAGGACCAUUCUUCUUUCAAAUAAAAUAAAUGUGCCUGCGAUAUGGCAGAAUAUUCUGCGUUGAAGAGGCUGUGCCCUGGCUAAUGCGUGCUGCAUUCUGUGGGCUUCAUUACAACGGGACACUAAAGAUGCAAUAUACAGUUCCCGAUGGGAUUGCUUUAUG